CCCAAUUACUAACUUUUUCACAAUUAGGUCCUAAAAAUCAUUUUCUACUAAAAUCACUUAAUAAGAUCAUUAUAUAAUGAAAUUAAAACUUAAAAUCUAUAAUAAUUCAUCAUAAAAUUCCAUAAAUUAUUCAUGGUAACUUAAUAAAUCACCCAUGGAAUCAAAUACUAAUGAAUUCAAUAGUUGGACCUAGUUGUAAAAUUCACAAAACAUAAAAAUUUCAAGGAAAAAGCAAGAAUUGAACUCAC
rnacentral:lncRNA from 1 species